rnacentral:rRNA from 1 species
UACGUAGGGAGCAAGCGUUGUCCGGAAUCAUUGGGCGUAAAGAGCGCGUAGGCGGUCCGGUAAGUCGGUUGUGAAAACUGGGGGCUCAACCCUCAGACGCCGACCGAUACUGUCGGGCUAGAGUCCGGAAGAGGCGAGUGGAAUUCCUGGUGUAGCGGUGAAAUGCGCAGAUAUCAGGAGAACACCAUGUGCGAAGGCAGC